CAGAUUUCCAAUGCACUGCCCGGAUUUUAUUCUGGAUCCAAUCACAUGGGAGGAAAGGGGGGCGCAGGGAGAAAGGAAGGCUCUGCAGCUUUACCUCCUGCCAUUGUCUCCGCAGUUUCUCCGCAGUCAUUGGACAUUUGUGAGGGGAAGGUGGCAGUCAAAUCCAGAGAAAAGCAACCCUGACGCAUACCAUAAACUCUCAUAAACCGUCACAUGUGCAGCUGGUAGCUACACACACAGGCAUGUGCACACAAAGACAGAGAUAUCCCUGGUUUGGUUUGUUCAUUUUUAUCCUGUCUUUCUUUAUUCCUCAUUGCUUGUAGUAUACAAUUGUAAACAUCCUUCUGAAGAAGAAAAAAAUCUCCCGUUUUAAGCCUGUAAUGUCCCCCCGAAAAGUCAUCAGCAACUUCGUUAACGUGGAAAACUAAAAAGACCAGGAACCUCCCAAAGGAGAUAAAAACACCUUAUACCCCCGGACACAAACUUUCUGUAUGAAAGAACCAUUCUUUCCCCUCCACAAUAGAAGAACAUAGUUUAAUCUC